rnacentral:rRNA from 1 species
AUUGAACGCUGGCGGCAGGCCUAACACAUGCAAGUCGAACGGUAACAGAAAGCAGCUUGCUGUUUCGCUGACGAGUGGCGGACGGGUGAGUAAUGUCUGGGAAACUGCCUGAUGGAGGGGGAUAACUACUGGAAACGGUAGCUAAUACCGCAUAACGUCGCAAGACCAAAGAGGGGGACCCUCGGGCCUCUUGCCAUCGGAUGUGCCCAGAUGGGAUUAGCUAGUAGGUGGGGUAACGGCUCACCUAGGCGACGAUCCCUAGCUGGUCUGAGAGGAUGACCAGCCACACUGGAACUGAGACACGGGCCAGACUCCUACGGGAGGCAGCAGUGGGGAAUAUUGCACAAUGGGCGCAAGCCUGAUGCAGCCAUGUCGCGUGUAUGAAGAAGGCCUUCGGGUUGUAAAGUACUUUCAGCGGGGAGGAAGGGUGUAAAGUUAAUACCUUUGCUCAUUGACGUUACCCGCAGAAGAAGCACCGGCUAACUCCGUGCCAGCAGCCGCGGUAA